rnacentral:tRNA from 2 species
GACGAUAUGGCCGAGUGGUCUAAGGCGACAGUUUUGAAAGCUGUUUCACUUCGUGAGCGUGAGUUCGAACCUCACUGUCGUCG